UUCACAGCAGAGUGUGGGGACCCCGAUUCUAUGUCAGUUCUGCCAGUUUCUUUCCCUUUCUCUUCAAGUGAGCUCAUGGUCUGAGUUCACCCUUGUCUCAGUCCUCACUGGGUUGUUGCCGGAGGAACUGGAAUCUGAGGCCUGGGUGAGGCUUACUCACACGGAAGACUGCACAUCCAUAUGCACACACCCUGGAAUGUGUCAAGGCUCCAAUUUAAGAGGCAGACUUGAAUAAGGCUGGAGGCAUCUUUGGGCCAGCACACACUGAUUUAAAGGAACUGGCAUCAAAGUACCAUUUCCCACCAGGCUUGAGCCUCUGCAGCCUCGGAAGAGGGAGUCUUUAGCCGAAACAUUCAGGAGCCGGGGAUCCCAGAAGCUGGAACACUUGUCUGUAAACUGAGCACUUGGGAGAUGGAAGCAAGUGCAUCAUUGGGAAUUCAAGAUCAUCCUCACCAAACACAGCAAUUUAAAGAGCAGUCUAGGUUUACAUGAGACCAUAUUUCAAAAAAACAACAAUAAAACCAAACCAAGAACAACAAGAAAGCAAGUGUAAGUGGCACAGGCCUUUAAUCCCAGCACUUGGGAGGCAGAAGCAGGUGGAUCUCUGUGAGUUCCAGACCAGCCUGGUCUAUAAGACAAGCCUGGUCUACAAGGACAGCCUCCAAAGCCACAGAGAAACCCUGUCUCAAAACAAAACAAAAACAAAAAAACCCUACAUCUUGAUUUUGGAUCCUUUCUUUACAUCUGGAAUUAUCUGUUACUGAAUACAAAAGCACCUAAAAGGAAAGGACCGGGUCCUGUAUAAUGAUAGUUGAGCCCCACCCAGUGGGAAGAGAAGAAACUUCUUCCACAGUCUCGUCUCAACAGUUUUAUGCUGUGGAAUAGAUAUGAUGAAGCAAUGCAUGAGUUGCUUACUUCUUCAGGUUUAUUCUCCCUCUUUUUUGUCAUCUUAAUUUAGUUUUGCCUCUUUGCUUCUCCUGUAGAAAACUUUCCCCCAGUUUUGGUUUUAGAUGGUUUGCCCUGGUGCAUUCUGUUUAUUAGAAUUCCAGAAUCACACUUUCUGGGUGUUAUUUGGGCACAAAUGUUCCCAAAAUAUGUAAGCACUUAAAUCAUUGUAAAGACAGCUGGCCAUGGAGCACAUCUUGCAGGCAGGUAGCCAAAACAGCACCAGAAAAUAGAAGGAUGAAGGAUUGAACCCUACCCCGUGGCAGAAUGCAGAGCCCUACUGAGAUACAUGGGGAAAGGAGAAGGUCCCUUAUGGAGGGAUCAGCCAUGUUGCAAAGCCAACAACACGGACCAUCAGAAGAGCAAACCCAGGCGGGAAGGGAGCCACCCACACCUGGAAGCCUGACAUCAGAAAUCCAACCAGCCUCCAACUGCUCUGUGAAAUAAGGGGAAAGAGUGAGCCCCACACUGAAGGUACAGAGUGUCUGUGUGUCAUCCUCUGAAGACAUGGGGACUCCAUCAUGAGGGCAGUAGCGCUGGUGGCUUUGCUUUGGACACAGUCUGUAGCAGGACAGCCCAUGCAAAGGCAAUUAGGUGGAAAUGGGGAUCAUUAUAGCCCUUUGAUUUGGUUCCUCCAAUAUCCGGUCAGGCAGAUGAAGAAAAGAGACUGACUCUUAACUCGGAAGUAAAUUGCAGGUGGAAGUAUUUGGUUUCAGCUUCUUUCAGGUUGAGGCUUUCCAAAGCAGAAUUUUGUGUGUUCAGGAACCCAAACAUGGGACAUUAUUGUUUUAGAGCCCUUGCAGAGUCAGAAAUAAGAAAACAGGCAGCCAAAUGGAGACAAUUGGUUUUAAUAGGCUGCUAUUCUUUACAGUGUGGUGACACUCAUUCUGUGUCAGGGCUUUGAAAUUGCCUGCUGGGGAUCCAGCUGCUCAAUCUUCACCUGCCCCCCACACACAAAGUUGUUCUUAUAGAAUUUAUUCCUCUCCUUUAUGGGUAUUUUUAGGAAGUGUCAGUUUGGGGGGAAAGUCCUAAAUAUGAAAUGUUCUAAUUAAUCAUUUGGAUCUUGCUGAGGGUGUGAGAGGGUGAAGGGUGUGGCUUCUCCCUUAUUCUGAAAUAGUUCUGUAGACUGAUUCCCAUGCUUAUUCUGCUCUCCAGGGCCGUCAGGACUCAUUCAAAACAACAGUCAGUAGGCGGGCUUUCAGAGGGGGAAAAAUCGUUAUUUAAAAUUGUUUCCUUAUGUCCUAUAGCAGCUCUUCUUGCCAUUUGUUUCUAGAGCAGCAUCUGCAAUGACAACUGGCUUGGUAUCUAUGUCAAGCCAAUUCAAAUAUUAAAUACAUUAAAAUGCUCUCUCCACCCUUGGCAUUACUAUAAUUAGGGACCUGGGCAAGACUUUGCUCAACCCUAUGACUUUUUUAAGCCUUGGAUCCUAGGUCGGGGAAAUAGGAGUUAGAAACCAGUCACUUAGGGAAAGGACCCAGUCAUAGUUGGAAUCACACUUGGUCUCUCAGUUGCUGCCACUGUUUGGGGAAAUUAUGUAACCUUUAGAAGGUGGAACCUUGUUGAAGGAAAUAGGUCAUUGGAGGUAGGCUUUAAGGGUUUAUUGUCUUGACCCACUUCCUGUUCUUGCUUUCUUUGCUUCCUGUGUGCUGUUGAUGUGAUUUCUUAGCAUCCUGCUCCUACCAGCAUGGCUUCCCUACCAUUGUGGACAUCAAGCCUAAAUAAGCUUUCUUCUUUAGGAUGCUUUUAUUAGAGUGUUUUACUGCACAACAACAGCAACAAAAAAGUAACUAAUACAGACCCCAACGAAUCAGCUCUACAAAUGUCCCUGCUGGAGACCUGGAAUAUCAAAAGACAGUUCCAGUUCCUAGUCCGUUGUUAUCUCUUGUCCUUGCCUGGGAGCUAUAAUACAUGAGGAUGUGACCAAAACUGAGAGCAGGCAACUGGACAUCUGACUAGACCAACUGGGCCUACCAGCUUAUCCCCCUCCCUAUGUUUUACUCUUAAGACUUAAAAAAAAAAGAAAAGAGAAAAGUAAAAAACAAAAAAACAAACCUGGACUAGAAGCUUAGUGAUACUCUAUUUCUGGGACCCCUCUGUAUGAUAUGAAUAUGGUUUAUUACCAUUGCUUAAUAAAGAAGCUACUUUGGCCUAUAGCAAAGCAGGAUAUACAGCCAGGCAAGAAAUCAAAGCAGAGAUACAGGGAGAAGGGCAGGGUCAGGGAGAUGCCAGCAGCUGCCUGAGCACCAAGAUAUACUAGAGAACAAGUAUUGCCUAUUAUAUAUAGAUGCAUGAUAUAUAUUAAUAGAAAUGGGUUAAUUUAAGUUUUAAAAGCUAGUUAGCAACAAGCCUGAGCAAUAGGCCAAACAGUUUGUAAUUAAUAUUAAGCCUCUGAGUGAUUAUUUUAAAAGCAGCUGCAGGACGGGGUGGGACAGAAAAGCCUCCACUUAGUACUCUUGCUACAUGGGUUCUCUCUCUCUCUCUCCCUCUCCUUUCCUCCCUCCUUGUAAUCUAUAAGAAACUCUUCUCUAAAAUGUAUACGCUACAGUUUAUGAAUCUCAUUCUUCAAAUUCUCUGGACAAAAACUCAAAAGCUACUAGCUCAGGGUGGCUUGAAUGGCUGUUGAGUUUUCAGGGACCCUAGACCUCCAGGCUAAGCUCACUAAGAACUGAGAAAGUCUCUAAUGUACUCAAAGAUACCCCUAAAUUUCCUGUAUCAAAGGUUACUGUUCUCCAUGUCUCAUUACUUUUAAGGAUAACAUGGCCUGCCCAGGCUUCCAUCAUUGACUCCACAUCUGCUGGCAAAACAGACUAGCCUCUUCUACCAGCAGGGACUCUCUUGUAGUUAAGAAAAGAGCAGAAAGACUCUGCCUCAGUUGAGGAAGGACAAACGGAUUCAGACCUUACAGGAUGGGACAGCUAACUUAAAGGUGUGUGCUACCAUGCCCAGCUUGUAUUUUCUUGUAAGUAACAUUUCUUUUUAAUUGAGAAAACACACAGAAAAAGUGUUCAGCUUGAUGAAUUUUCACUGUGAACCAACCAGAAAAACAAAGCCUAGGCCUAGAAACAGAAAAUGGAAAUUACCAGUACUGAUAGGCCCUCUUUUCCCUACUUCUAGGUUCUUGUUGUCCCAAGGACUGCCACUAACCUGACUUCUGACAUCUUGUCUUAGUUAGGGUCUCUAUUGCUGUGAAGAGACACCAUGACCAUGGCAACUCUUACAAAGAAAACAUUUAAUUGAGGUGGGUUGCUUACAGUUUCAGAGAUUCAGUCAAUUAGCAUAGUGGCAUGCAGAAAGAGGCAGUGCUGGAGCUAAGACUGCUACAUCUUGUAGGCAACAGGAAGUUGACACUAGGCAGUUUCCUGAGUAUAUGAAACCUCAAAGCCUGCCCCCUCAAAGCCCUUCCUCCAACAAGGCCACACCCAUUCCAACAAAACCACACCUUCUAAUAGUGCCACUUCCUAUGAGAUUAUGAGGGCCAAUUCCAUUCAAACUUCCACACAUCUUUUGCUUCUUUGGGAAGCUUUCACUGUGUGUGUGUGGGGGGGGGUUGUUAGGUCACAGGCCUGUCCUCUUGUCUUAGCUAGGGUCUCUUUUUCCUGUGAUACAGCACAAUGACCAAAAGCAGCAUAAGGUGGAAAGGAAUUACUUCAGAUUGCAGUUCCACAUCACAGUCCCUCAUUGAGGGAAGUCAGGGCAGGAGCUUGAAGACAGGAACUGAAGCAGAGGUCUCAGAGGGGUGCUGCUUACUACCUUGUUCCUUGUAGUUGCCUUCUUAUAGUACCCAGGACCAACCAUAAUGGGCUAGGCCCUCCUACAUGAAUUACUAAUUAAGAAAACAUUACAGUCUUGCCUACAGACCAAUCUUACUUUCCCAACUGAGAGUUCCUCUUCCUAAAUGACUUUGUCUUGUGUCAAGUAGACAUAAAACUAGCCAGCACACCCCUUCCUCUCUUAUUUUAAGCUAUCUUUUGUAAUGAAGCUUGUUUCAUUCACACACACACACACACAAUUUCUAAGAGAGGCUGGCAGACUCUAUUGGAUCUUUAGGAACUGGAGUCUUCACAUGGUUGUAGGCCAUCAUGCUGGUGUUGGGAAUUGAACCUAGGGUGGCACACACCUUUAGUCCCAGCACUCGGGAGGCAGAGGCAGAUGGAUCUGUGUGAGUUCAAGGCCAGCCUGGUCUACAGUGUGAGUUCCAGGACAGCCUCCAAAGCUACACGGAGAAACCCUGUCUCAAAAAAAACAAACAAAAAAAGACAACCUUGAACUUCUGAUCUUCCUUUGUAUUUCCAUUGUAGAAGUUAGUACCAUAUGUGGGUCAGGGACUGGAUCAGUCAAGCAUCUGGACUGAUUUCAUUUAGAUUUAUUUAUUUUUAUUUCUCUCAUUGGUAUUUUGUCUGAAUGUAUGCCAGUGUGAGGGUGUCAGACCCCCUGGAAAGUUGUAGGCUGCCAUAUGGGUACUGGAAAUUGAACUUGGGUCCUCUGAAAGAGUAUUCAUUGCUCUUAACUAUUGACCAUCUCUCCAGCACCUAUAUUUUAUUUGUUUACUGGUCAUUGCUGCUGUCCCCAAUGAGCUUUAUAGUCAGGAAUAUUCCUGUUUACUCCAGAAUCCUUUAGUUUAUGUAUAAAGGAGCAGCAAAAAUCUAGGCCAAAGGGUGUUCCUAUUAUGUAUCAGAUGGUGGGAUAAAAGCACUGAAUUCUGCAGUGCAGAACUCAUGAAGCCAAGUGCUCUGCGUGGUAGUCUUAGCUCUCUCAGCUCCAGCCCCACAGUAAACCACAUUAUAGAAGGGAAACAGAUGUGGAAUUGAGUUAUCCCUGCUAUGAUCUUAGAGCUGUCAUUUUCCACUGUAAUCCACAGUUUAUGGGACUAUUCCUCACCACAAAGGUCGGGGUCACUGACCACCAUGUUGUCUACAGCCUGAGCCCCUUGCUGCCCAAACCUCUCAGUGGUCUGCAUACAGCACACCCCCCAACACAACAACUGCUUCUUGUGGCUGUCUUCCACCCAGACACUGUGGGCAAGUGUCCCCAUCCGCCCUGACUUGUGAUUAUUCUUUGGUUUCAGAUCCUCAGAGUAGCUCAGUCUCAAACCAUUGGCCCCAUUCUUACGAUGACGCCUGGCUGUGCACUGGGUGGUCUACAGAGCCCCAUGGUGUGCUGCCUCUCUGAUGCUGGAGGGAGACUGUCAAACUGUCACCAGUCACAGGAACACAUCUCUGUACCACACUGGCAGCUCCCCGAGUUCUUUUAGAGACUUCCACCCAAGCAAAACUGCAAUUCACAGUUUCAUCGAAGAAAUGGGUUUCAAGGCGAGCCAAAUCUGAAAUGAAGGUGAAUAUAUUAGAUCCAAUAGGACAGGUGUGGGCUUCUUCCUCAAGGGAGAGUUACAAUUAAGUUGGAGGCUCUCAAGUUAUAUCUCUAGAGGUUGCCAGGAAAUGGCCCCUUUUAUUUAGUGUAGCCAAACUCUGUAAUCUGUUAUAAGGUUAAAAGUUAAAGAUUUUCUUUUCUCAGUAAACAAAGUUCUCUGAUAGGUUCACGAGUAUGUUUAGGUUUAGGGGAAUGCUAAAAACUCAAGGUUAUAGAUCAUUUUUAGCCCUAAACUAGCACAUUUGUUUAAUUUCAAAAUAUUUGGAGAGUCAGAUAAUUUUCAUUAUUUAAUUAACUUAUAUUACAGUAAAGACAUUAGAACAAUUUUUAGGCUAUGAAAUGGUACACUGUAUUAUUCCAAUAUUUUAAAUAUAUUGAGUUUUUUAUGGUCAAACAUAUUAAUGAAUAAUCCAGAUAUAUUAGGCAACAAUGUGCAUUUUUCAGUCUGGGGUGGAGAACUCAAUAAAUGCAGUCAGGUCCAUUCGUUUUACAUUGCUAUUUACAACUUUCUGGCUGAUUCUGUGACUCUCCAAUCUUUCCAUUUCCAAGAGGAAGGUGCAGACACCUCCAACCAUGACUUUCUGUUUAGCUACUUUUUCCUUUCUUUUGCCAGUGUUUCCUUCACUUAUAAUGGCUCCUACUUCUCCACAUCUUUGUCAAUACUUGCUACAGUCCUUUAAAGAUUAUUUUAGUCCUAAUGAGUAUAACACUGGAUUUUAUUGUGGGUAUGAUGUGGAGAAUUUUUGCAUCUGUUCAAAUUGGGAUAUUUGCCUUUAUGCUAAUCUGGGUAUUCUAAAUACUAGACCUUUAGAAGAUACAAAAUUUGUAACUAUUUGUUCUCAUUCUGUGGUCUGUCUUGACAUUUUAUAUAUCCUCUAAAGCACAAAUUUCAACCUUUCUUCGGUUUAUAUUCUAUUUUUAUUUUAUGUAUAUGGGUGUUUUGCCUGCAUGAAUGUCUGUACACCUCUUGUGUACCUGGUGCCUGAGGAUGCCAGAAGGGCUCAGAUCCCUGUAGCUGCUGAUUAGGUGCUGGGCAUCAAGCUGGGCUUUCUGGAAGAGUGGUCAGUAUUCUUAACCCUCUGAGACAUCUCUCUAGCACCUGUCUUUUUUUUUCAAGAAAAAGUCUCACAAAGCCCAAGCAGGUCUUGAACCAGGUGUGGAAGCCAACAUCUAUAAUAACCUAGCUUGGGGAAAGGUGGAGGCAGAUGGAUUCCUGAGGGCUCACUGGCCAGCCAGUGUAGUCAAUAUGGCAAGCUCCAAGUUCAGUAAGAGAACUGGUAUCAAAAAAUAAGGUGGAAAGUGAAGAGAAAGCUAUGCAAUAUUGACUUCUGGCUUCACAUGAGCAUUUACAGGCACACACCUUCACACACAUGUAAAAGCACACCACACACACCACACACGCACAUACACACAUGAGUGCGUGCCUUUCGUUUAUUGACAUUUGUGGCUCACUUCCCACAUCUGUAUAAACAAUAAGCAAUUCAUGUUUAUUAGAAUUGUAUAUGUAUGAUAAUAGAGCACAAAGAGAUAGGAGACCAGCUUCCUACCUCUAAACAAUGUAAAGCAGCUGUUCUUUCUUUCUUUUUUUCUUUCUUUCUUUUUUUUUUUUUUUUUUCGAGCCAGGGUUUCUCUGUGUAGUUUUGGAGCCUAUCCUGGCACUUGCUCUGUAGACCAGGUUGGUCUUGAACUCACAGAGAUCUGCCUGCCUCUGCCUCUCAGAGUGCUGUAUUAAAGGCAUGUGCCAUCAAUGCCCAGCAAAGCAGCUGUCCUUAAACACUUCAGACUCAAGAACCCUGUAUACCCUGUAAAAUUCUGUCAAGAAUCCUAUAUAGUUCACAGAAGUAGAGAACUUUGGUUAGGAGGCAAAACGACUCUGAAAAAUGCUUAAGAUUAAGGAGAACCAGCUGCAUGCAAACUAUCUGAAUUAUUGCAUAGAAGAUAAUUGACCCCAAUUGAUUUGUGAAAGAUUUGGAAACAAAAGAACUCCAGGGAAAAACAAAACUGACUCAAGAACGGCUAAAGCAAGACAAUGAGAUCUGUUUCAACCAAAUUACCCCUUAAAGAAUAUGCAAGAAUAUGCUCUACAAGCUAGGAAAAUAUUUCAAUUAACAUUUUCCAAGUCUGCCUUUGAGCUAUAUUGAACAAGCUGUAAAUACACCAGAUUUUUCAAAUGAUUUCCAAUAAAACUUUAUUAUUUUCAUUCCUCAGGCAACCUGAAUUUUCAUAUUUUUUUGACCUAGGAUUCUCAUUUAGGGGUAAAAAUAUGUACUUUUGUAAGACCCUCAGAAAGCUGAGGCUUCCAGAAUCUUAGCCCAGGACCUCGGCCACCCCAAUCACAGAAUGGAGGCGAAAGCUUGAUGCAAAUUGCAUGAGGCUUUAUUGUAGUUU